rnacentral:rRNA from 1 species
GACGAACGCUGGCGGCGUGCUUAACACAUGCAAGUCGAACGGACAGGCCCUGCUUUUGUGGGGUGCUCGAGUGGCGAACGGGUGAGUAACACGCGAGUAAACUGUCCCUGUAUUUCGGAUAACUUCAGGAAAAAGGGGCUAAUACAGGAUAGGAGAUCCUGCAGCAUGGUGGGGGAUGGAAAGAUUCGGCGGUUGGGGAUGGACUAGCGGCUUAUCAGCUGGUUGGUGGAGUAGUGGAUGACAAAGGCUUCGAAGGGUAGCCGGCCUGGGAGGGGGGCCGGCCACAUUGGGACUGAGAUACGGCCCAGACGCCUACGUGAGGCAACAGUGGGGAGUAUUGCACAAUGGGCGGGAGCCAGAUGCAGCAACGCCGCGUGCGGGAAGACGUCCUUCUGGUUGUGAACCGCUUUCUCCGGAGACGAGGCGGUAGUGACGGUAAUGGGUAAAGAAGCACCGGCUAACUACGUG